GGAAUUGACGGGGCCCGCACAAGCGUGGAGUAUGUGGUUUAAUUCGAUGCAACGCGAAGAACCUUACCUGGUCUUGACAUCCCGGAGACCCUUAGGAAACUAGGGGGUGCUUCCAUCUGGAAGAAUCUGGAGACAGGUGCUGCAUGGCUGUCGUCAGCUCGUGUCGUGAGAUGUUGGGUUAAGUCCCGCAACGAGCGCAACCCUUGCCUUUAGUUGCCAGCAGUUCGGCUGGGCACUCUAAAGGGACUGCCGGUGUUAAACCGGAGGAAGGUGGGGAUGACGUCAAGUCCUCAUGGCCUUUAUGACCAGGGCUACACACGUACUACAAUGGCCGAUACAAAGGGCAGCGACACUGCGAGGUGAAGCCAAUCCCGUAAAAUCGGUCUCAGUCCGGAUUGGAGUCUGCAACUCGACUCCAUGAAGUUGGAAUCGCUAGUAAUCGUGGAUCAGCAUGCCACGGUGAAUACGUUCCCGGGCCUU
rnacentral:rRNA from 1 species